AUACAUAUGUAAUUUCAAAGCGAUACAGUAUGACAAUGAUACUUCGAGUCAUUCCACUAAAUAUAAGGAAUGAUCUUUUAAAAACAAUAAUACUACUCCACUAAUUACUAAAUAAUUAGUUAACUGUAGCCGGCCAGGAUAUGUAUUAACUAUUGAUGAGAAGAUGCUAGUAGUCUCCUUCCAAGAUCACUUUCAGCAGUAUUCUGAGCCUGAGGCCGGGAAGGUUUGUCGGUGUGCAUGGCCGCCAUGAAGAACAACAGUAGAAGGAACACUUGGCGAACCCAAUGGCCAGUGCAGCAUGCCAACAUUUCUCGCAGGUGGCGAUCAUAUAAAACACGAAGAAUAUGUAGUAUAGGUAAAGCAUCAUCAACGGCAUGCCCUGCAUGCAUCAAAUGCGUAGAAAACAGCAUCAAAUUUAAUUGACUCAACUUAAUUAGUGAGCUAGGCUUGAAGUAAUUAGACAAAAGGGUACACUAAAAAAAUCAAAAAAAAAGAGAGAGAGAGUAAAGAAGGAAAAAAUGUCUUUACCUUCGGGCCAUGUGUUUGAAGAGACAGCCCCAUCGAAAAAUCGAGCAGAAUAGUCCUAAAAAGAACAAAGAUCUGCAUAAUAUAUAGAAACAGGCACAAACAAUGAUACUACUUGCUAGGAAAAAAAAUUGAUUGUGAAGUGUUUGAUAUACGGAAGAGAACCUGAAUGUUUUCCCUACACCUCCCAAUCCGAGCCAGAUUUACCUUCACUGCUAUAUGGUGAAACAAAAAUUAUGAGUGCAUGCAUGGAUCUUCAGCUCUUUACUAGUUGGUUUCAUAUAGCUCACAAACAAAGGUACUGCACUGCUACUACUUAGGAAGUAGGAACUUAUAUAGCCUAAACAAAAAGG
rnacentral:lncRNA from 1 species